GCCACGGCUAAACUACGUGCCAGCAGCCGCGGUAAUAUGUAGGUGGCAAGUUUUGNUCUAGAAAUUAUUGGCGUAAAGCGGCGCGCGGGCUGCCUUUCUUAUGUUUGAUGUGAUCAGCCCUCCGGCUCAUCCCGUGGAGGGUCGAUGGAAACUGGGAGGCUUGAGUGCAGAAAAGGAGAGCGGGAAUUCCACGUGUAGCGAUGAAUUGUGUAGAGAGGUGGAGGAACACCAGUGGCGAAGGCUGUCUCUCUGCUCUGUAACUGACGUUGAGGCGUGAAAGCGUGGGGAGCGAACAGGAUUAGAUACCGUGNUAUUCCACGCUGUAAACGAUGAGUGCUAAGUGUUGGAGGGUAUCCUUCCUUCAGUGCUGCAGAUAACGCAUUAAGCACUCCGCCUGGGGAGUACGGCCGCAAGGCUGAAACUCAAAGGAAUUGACGGGGCCCCGCACAAGCGGUGGAGCAUGUGGUUUAAUUAGAAGCAACGCGAAGAACCUUACCAGGUCUUGACAUCCCGAUGACCGGUCUGGAGACAGGCCUUUCCCUUCGGGGACAGCGGUGACAGGUGGUGCAUGGUUUUUGUCAGCUCGUGUCGUGAGAUGGUGGGGUAAGUCCCGCACCGAGCGCAACCCUUGAUCUUAGUUGCCAGCAUUCAGUUGGGCACUUUAAGGUGACUGCCGGUGACAAACCGGAGGAAGGUGGGGAUGACGUCAAAUCAUCAUGCCCCUUAUGACCGGGGCUACACACGUGUUACAAUGGAUGGUACAAAGGGCUGCAAGACCGCAAGGUUUAGCCAAUCCCAUAAAACCAUUCUCAGUUCGGAUUGCAGGCCGCAACUCGCCUGCAUGAAGCCGGAAUCGCUAGUAAUCGCGGAUCAGCAUGCCGCGGUGAAUACGUUCCCGGGCCUUGUACACCCC
rnacentral:rRNA from 1 species